UACGGAGGGUGCAAGCGUUGUUCGGAAUCACUGGGCGUAAAGCGCGUGUAGGCGGUUCCUUAAGUCUGGUGUGAAAGCCCGGGGCUCACCCCCGGAAGUGCACUGGAGACUGAGGAGCUUGAGUACCGGAGAGGAGGGUGGAAUUCCUGGUGUAGCGGUGAAAUGCGUAGAUAUCAGGAGGAACACCAGCGGCGAAGGCGGCAUCCUGGACUGGUCCUGACACUCAGGAGCGAAAGCGUGGGGAGCGAUCCGG
rnacentral:rRNA from 1 species